ACAGGCGACAGGGUGGAUCUUGGGGAGGGCGGCCCUGCUGGGCCUCCAAGAAAAGCCAUGUAGACAUCCACAGCCUUGGGUGUCUUGAUGU
rfam:Ailuropoda melanoleuca scaffold1318_19, whole genome shotgun sequence.